rnacentral:rRNA from 1 species
UCAGAGCGAACGCUGGCGGCAGGCUUAACACAUGCAAGUCGAGCGGACCUUUCGGGGUCAGCGGCGGACGGGUGAGUAACGCGUGGGAACGUGCCUUCCGGUUCGGAAUAACCCUGGGAAACUAGGGCUAAUACCGGAUACGCCCUUAUGGGGAAAGGUUUACUGCCGGAAGAUCGGCCCGCGUCUGAUUAGCUAGUUGGUGGGGUAACGGCCUACCAAGGCGACGAUCAGUAGCUGGUCUGAGAGGAUGAUCAGCCACACUGGGACUGAGACACGGCCCAGACUCCUACGGGAGGCAGCAGUGGGGAAUAUUGGACAAUGGGCGCAAGCCUGAUCCAGCCAUGCCGCGUGAGUGAUGAAGGCCUUAGGGUUGUAAAGCUCUUUUAUCCGGGACGAUAAUGACGGUACCGGAGGAAUAAGCCCCGGCUAACUUCGUGCCAGCAGCCGCGGUAAUACGAAGGGGGCUAGCGUUGCUCGGAAUCACUGGGCGUAAAGGGCGCGUAGGCGGCGUUUUAAGUCGGGGGUGAAAGCCUGUGGCUCAACCACAGAAUGGCCUUCGAUACUGGGACGCUUGAGUAUGGUAGAGGUUGGUGGAACUGCGAGUGUAGAGGUGAAAUUCGUAGAUAUUCGCAAGAACAC